UAAAAAAAAUUCAUUCUCCCGCUAUCCCUGUCCCCAAACCCUAGUCGUUUUCACCUUAUUGCUCAAAUUUAAACUCAAAAUCAAGAUUGAGGAGAUAAUCAAUUAAAUUGUCUCACAUUCUUUUUCUAAAUCUGUUGUUUUUCGAUUCAAUAUCUAAUCUAAUCAAUCUUGUGCUUCCUUCGAUUACAGAUUUUGUUGUGGCGAGAGGAUGAACAAUCAUAGUAGAAGCAACAGGAACACAGGCACUGGUCCACCCACUCAAUCGGUCCUUAAUAGUAUGUUGAAGCCUUGAGAUUCUUCUUUCAUGACUAUGUUGGUUCAUAACUUAUGCCUUAAAAGUGGACCCAACCUAGGUUCUAAAGCAUCAAAGAUUCGUAUUCUAUGUGAUUUUAAACAGCCUGACCCCGCCUGGUAAGCACAGCAUUUGGGUGAGGGGUCGGGUUGGGUGAGGCCAAAGCACUACUUUGUUGUUGUUGUUGUUGUUGUUGUUUUUACAAA
rnacentral:lncRNA from 1 species